ACCGAUUGCGACCUGCAGGUCGUGAGAGGAGGUGAUAGUCGUGAGUUACUUAUUCGAGCUCUUCCUCAAUGUUAUGGCAAAUGUACUGGCAUAUUUCAUUUGCAAAUGGCUGGACGAUGAGGAUAAACGGUAGUCAGCCUAGAAACACUCGUUAAUCUGAAAAGAACGUAAAAAAAGCCCUAAAGGACUGGCAUCCUCUAGGGCUUUGGUGU
rnacentral:sRNA from 1 species